UGAGGAAUAUUGGUCAAUGGACGCAAGUCUGAACCAGCCAUGCCGCGUGAAGGAAUAAGGCCCUAUGGGUCGUAAACUUCUUUUGUAUGUGAGCAAUAAGGUCCACGUGUGGUCCGAUGAGAGUAGCAUACGAAUAAGCAUCGGCUAACUCCGUGCCAGCAGCCGCGGUAAUACGGAGGAUGCAAGCGUUAUCCGGAUUCAUUGGGUUUAAAAGGGUGCGUAGGCGGCUUGGUAAGUCAGCGGUGAAAUUCGUAGAUAUUAGGAGGAACACCAGUGGCGAAGGCGGCUUUCUGGACUGUUACUGACACUGAGGCACGAAAGUGUGGGGAGCAAACAGGA
rnacentral:rRNA from 1 species